rnacentral:rRNA from 1 species
UACAGAGGUCCCAAGCGUUGUUCGGAUUCACUGGGCGUAAAGGGUGCGUAGGCGGGUCUUUAAGUCAGGGGUGAAAUCCUGGAGCUCAACUCCAGAACUGCCUUUGAUACUGAAGAUCUUGAGUUCGGGAGAGGUGAGUGGAACUGCGAGUGUAGAGGUGAAAUUCGUAGAUAUUCGCAAGAACACCAGUGGCGAAGGCGAGUCCCUGGACAACUUCUGACGCUGAGGCACGAAAGCUAGGGGAGCAAACAGG